UAGGGAAUCUUCCGCAAUGGACGCAAGUCUGACGGAGCAACGCCGCGUGAGUGAUGAAGGUUUUCGGAUCGUAAAGCUCUGUUGCCAGGGACGAAAAGCUGGGGGAGUAACUGCCCCUAGUGUGACGGUACCUGAGAAGAAAGCCCCGGCUAACUACGUGCCAGCAGCCGCGGUAAUACGUAGGGGGCAAGCGUUGUCCGGAAUUAUUGGGCGUAAAGCGCGCGCAGGCGGCUACUUAAGUUUGGUGUAUAAGCCCGGGGCUCAACCCCGGUCCGCACCGAAAACUGGGUGGCUUGAGUGCGGGAGAGGAAAGUGGAAUUCCACGUGUAGCGGUGAAAUGCGUAGAGAUGUGGAGGAACACCAGUGGCGAAGGCGACUUUCUGGACCGUAACUGACGCUGAGGCGCGAAAGCGUGGGGAGCAAACA
rnacentral:rRNA from 1 species